GACGAACGCUGGCGGCGUGCUUAACACAUGCAAGUCGAACGGAAAGGCCCUGCUUUUGUGGGGUGCUCGAGUGGCGAACGGGUGAGUAACACGUGAGUAACCUGCCAUUGACUUUGGGAUAACUUCAGGAAACUGGGGCUAAUACCGGAUAGGAGCUCCUGCUGCAUGGUGGGGGUUGGAAAGUUUCGGCGGUUGGGGAUGGACUCGCGGCUUAUCAGCUUGUUGGUGUGGUAGUGGCUUACCAAGGCUUUGACGCGUAGCCGGCCUGAGAGGGUGACCGGCCACAUUGGGACUGAGAUACGGCACAGACUACUACGGUAGGCAGCAGAGGAGAAUGUUGCACAAUGGACGGAAGCCUGAUGCAGCAACGCCGCGUGCGGGAUGACGGGCUUCGGGUUGUAAACCGCUUUCGCCUGUGACGAAGCGUGAGUGACGGUAAUGGGUAAAGAAGCACCGGCUAACUACGUG
rnacentral:rRNA from 1 species